rnacentral:rRNA from 1 species
CACGUAGGGGGCGAGCGUUGUCCGGAUUUAUUGGGCGUAAAGAGCUCGUAGGCGGUUAGACAAGUCGGGUGUGAAAGCUCGAGGCUCAACCUCGAGACGCCACUCGAUACUGUUUUGACUGGAGUCCGGGAGAGGGAUGUGGAAUUCCAGGUGUAGCGGUGAAAUGCGUAGAUAUCUGGAGGAACACCGGUGGCGAAGGCGGCAUCCUGGACCGGUAUUGACGCUGAGGCGCGAAAGCUAGGGUAGCAAACGGG